rnacentral:rRNA from 1 species
GGUUAAGCGACUAAGCGUACACGGUGGAUGCCCGGCAGUCAGAGGCGAUGAAGGACGUGCUAAUCUGCGAAAAGCGUCGGUAAGGUGAUAUGAACCGUUAUAACCGGCGAUGUCCGAAUGGGGAAACCCAGUGCGAUUCGUUGCACUAUCGUUAACUGAAUACAUAGGUUAACGAGGCGAACCGGGGAACUGAAACAUCUAAGUACCCCGAGGAAAAGAAAUCAACCGAGAUUCCCCCAGUAGCGGCGAGCGAACGGGGAGCAGCCCAGAGUCUGAAUCAGCUUGUGUGUUAGUGGAACGGUCUGGAAAGUCCGACGGUACAGGGUGAUAGUCCCGUACACCAAAAUGCACAGGCUGUGAACUCGAAGAGUAGGGCGGGACACGUGGUAUCCUGUCUGAAUAUGGGGGGACCAUCCUCCAAGGCUAAAUACUCCUGACUGACCGAUAGUGAACCAGUACCGUGAGGGAAAGGCGAAAAGAACCCCGGCGAGGGGAGUGAAAAAGAACCUGAAACCGUGUACGUACAAGCAGUGGGAGCACCUUCGGGUGUGACUGCGUACCUUUGUAUAAUGGGUCAGCGACUUAUAUUCUGUAGCAAGGUUAACCGUAUAGGGGAGCCGCAGGGAAACCGAGUCUUAACUGGGCGUUAAGUUGCAGGGUAUAGACCCGAAACCCGGUGAUCUAGCCAUGGGCAGGUUGAAGGUUGGGUAACACUAACUGGAGGACCGAACCGACUAAUGUUGAAAAAUUAGCGGAUGACUUGUGGCUGGGGGUGAAAGGCCAAUCAAACCGGGAGAUAGCUGGUUCUCCCCGAAAGCUAUUUAGGUAGCGCCUCGUGAACUCAUCUUCGGGGGUAGAGCACUGUUUCGGCUAGGGGGUCAUCCCGACUUACCAACCCGAUGCAAACUACGAAUACCGAAGAAUGUUAUCACGGGAGACACACGGCGGGUGCUAACGUCCGUCGUGAAGAGGGAAACAACCCAGACCGCCAGCUAAGGUCCCAAAGUCAUGGUUAAGUGGGAAACGAUGUGGGAAGGCACAGACAGCCAGGAUGUUGGCUUAGAAGCAGCCAUCAUUUAAAGAAAGCGUAAUAGCUCACUGGUCGAGUCGGCCUGCGCGGAAGAUGUAACGGGGCUAAACCAUGCACCGAAGCUGCGGCAGCGACACUAUGUGUUGUUGGGUAGGGGAGCGUUCUGUAAGCCUGCGAAGGUGACCUGUGAGGGUUGCUGGAGGUAUCAGAAGUGCGAAUGCUGACAUAAGUAACGAUAAAGCGGGUGAAAAGCCCGCUCGCCGGAAGACCAAGGGUUCCUGUCCAACGUUAAUCGGGGCAGGGUGAGUCGACCCCUAAGGCGAGGCCGAAAGGCGUAGUCGAUGGGAAACAGGUUAAUAUUCCUGUACUUGGUGUUACUGCGAAGGGGGACGGAGAAGGCUAUGUUAGCCGGGCGACGGUUGUCCCGGUUUAAGCAUGUAGGCUGAUUGUCCAGGCAAAUCCGGAUAAUCAAGGCUGAGGUGUGAUGACGAGGCACUACGGUGCUGAAGUAACAAAUGCCCUGCUUCCAGGAAAAGCCUCUAAGCAUCAGGUAACAUCAAAUCGUACCCCAAACCGACACAGGUGGUCAGGUAGAGAAUACCAAGGCGCUUGAGAGAACUCGGGUGAAGGAACUAGGCAAAAUGGUGCCGUAACUUCGGGAGAAGGCACGCUGGUGUGUAGGUGAAGUCCCUGCGGAUGGAGCUGAGACCAGUCGAAGAUACCAGCUGGCUGCAACUGUUUAUUAAAAACACAGCACUGUGCAAACACGAAAGUGGACGUAUACGGUGUGACGCCUGCCCGGUGCCGGAAGGUUAAUUGAUGGGGUUAUCCGUAAGGAGAAGCUCUUGAUCGAAGCCCCGGUAAACGGCGGCCGUAACUAUAACGGUCCUAAGGUAGCGAAAUUCCUUGUCGGGUAAGUUCCGACCUGCACGAAUGGCGUAAUGAUGGCCAGGCUGUCUCCACCCGAGACUCAGUGAAAUUGAACUCGCUGUGAAGAUGCAGUGUACCCGCGGCAAGACGGAAAGACCCCGUGAACCUUUACUAUAGCUUGACACUGAACAUUGAGCCUUGAUGUGUAGGAUAGGUGGGAGGCUUUGAAGCGUGGACGCCAGUCUGCGUGGAGCCAACCUUGAAAUACCACCCUUUAAUGUUUGAUGUUCUAACGUUGGCCCCUGACCGGGGUUGCGGACAGUGUCUGGUGGGUAGUUUGACUGGGGCGGUCUCCUCCCAAAGCGUAACGGAGGAGCACGAAGGUUAGCUAAUCCUGGUCGGACAUCAGGAGGUUAGUGCAAUGGCAUAAGCUAGCUUGACUGCGAGCGUGACGGCGCGAGCAGGUGCGAAAGCAGGUCAUAGUGAUCCGGUGGUUCUGAAUGGAAGGGCCAUCGCUCAACGGAUAAAAGGUACUCCGGGGAUAACAGGCUGAUACCGCCCAAGAGUUCAUAUCGACGGCGGUGUUUGGCACCUCGAUGUCGGCUCAUCACAUCCUGGGGCUGAAGUAGGUCCCAAGGGUAUGGCUGUUCGCCAUUUAAAGUGGUACGCGAGCUGGGUUUAGAACGUCGUGAGACAGUUCGGUCCCUAUCUGCCGUGGGCGCUGGAGAAUUGAGGGGGCUGCUCCUAGUACGAGAGGACCGGAGUGGACGCAUCACUGGUGUUCGGGUUGUCAUGCCAAUGGCACUGCCCGGUAGCUAAAUGCGGAAGAGAUAAGUGCUGAAAGCAUCUAAGCACGAAACUUGCCCCGAGAUGAGUUCUCCCUGAGACUUUAAGUCUCCUGAAGGAACGUUGAAGACGACGACGUUGAUAGGCCGGGUGUGUAAGCGCAGCGAUGCGUUGAGCUAACCGGUACUAAUGAACCGUGAGGCUUAACCUU